ACUUUCAACAACGGAUCUCUUGGUUCUGGCAUCGAUGAAGAACGCAGCAAAAUGCGAUAAGUAAUGUGAAUUGCAGAAUUCAGUGAAUCAUCGAAUCUUUGAACGCACAUUGCGCCCGCCAGUAUUCUGGCGGGCAUGCCUGUUCGAGCGUCAUUUC
rnacentral:rRNA from 11 species